rnacentral:rRNA from 1 species
CCUACGGGGGGCAGCAGUGAGGAAUAUUGGUCAAUGGUCGGGAGACUGAACCAGCCAAGCCGCGUGAGGGAGGAAGGUACAGAGUAUCGUAAACCUCUUUUGUCAGGGGACAAAGACUGGGACGCGUCCCCGGAUGAGUGUACCUGAAGAAAAAGCAUCGGCUAACUCCGUGCCAGCAGCCGCGGUAAUACGGAGGAUGCGAGCGUUAUCCGGAUUUAUUGGGUUUAAAGGGUGCGCAGGGGGUCUGUUAAGUCAGUGGUCAAAGCCCGGGGCUCAACCCCAGCACUGCGUUUGAAACUGGCAGUCUCGAGUUGGAGAGAAGUAUGCGGAAUGCGCGGUGUAGCGGUGAAAUGCAUAGAUAUCGCGCAGAACUCCGAUUGCGAAGGCAGCAUGCCGGCUCCACACUGACGCUGAGGCACGAAAGCGUGGGUAUCGAACAGGAUUAGAUACCCGGGUAGUC